GUAGUCUCGCACAGAUGCAUAUCAAUAAGCGGAGGAAAAGAAACUAACAAGGAUUCCCUCAGUAACGGCGAGUGAAGCGGGAAGAGCUCAAAUUUGAAAUCUUGAAAGGUCACCUUUCACGAAUUGUAGUUUAAAGAAGUGUUUUCUGUUACGAUCGUAAUAUAAGUUCUUUGGAAUAGGACAUCACAGAGGGUGAGAAUCCCGUCUAUGAUUGCGAUUUGUAGCUUUGUGAUACACUUUCAAAGAGUCGGGUUGUUUGGGAAUGCAGCCCAAAACGGGAGGUAAAUUUCUUCUAAGGCUAAAUAUUGGCGAGAGACCGAUAGCGAACAAGUACCGUGAGGGAAAGAUGAAAAGAACUUUGAAAAGAGAGUUAAACAGUACGUGAAAUUGUCAAAAGGGAAGCGUUUAACACCAGUGUUGUUUUCUGAAAAUCAACCUCUGUUAGCUUUAUGCAUGUUUGUUUAGACCUAAUCAGCUAUCUUGCAUGUUCUAUUGUUUGCAGUGGUGCACUUUUCAGUUUACAGGUCAACAUCAGUUUUUUUUACCGUAAAAAAGUUAAAGAAAGGUAGCUCAUGGCUCCGGUCGUGAGUGUUAUAGUCUUUUUCCUAUGCGGUAGGAGAGACUGAGGUCUGCAGUGUAGGCUAUUUGGCUAGAUACUCAGGUGCUAUGUGAUACCAUUUCAUAAACAACUUGUUGAUUAUGUUUUGUCUAUUGCAUACUCGCUUGUACUAUCAUACCUACGCUUAGGAUGUUGAGUCGUAGAGCACGCAG
rnacentral:rRNA from 1 species